UGGGGAAUAUUGCACAAUGGGCGCAAGCCUGAUGCAGCAACGCCGCGUGAGGGAUGACGGCCUUCGGGUUGUAAACCUCUUUUAGCAGGGAAGAAGCGAGAGUGACGGUACCUGCAGAAAAAGCACCGGCUAACUACGUGCCAGCAGCCGCGGUAAUACGUAGGGUGCAAGCGUUAUCCGGAAUUAUUGGGCGUAAAGAGCUCGUAGGCGGUUUGUCGCGUCUGCUGUGAAAUCUGGGGGCUCAACCCCCAGCCUGCAGUGGGUACGGGCAGACUAGAGUGCGGUAGGGGAGAUUGGAAUUCCUGGUGUAGCGGUGGAAUGCGCAGAUAUCAGGAGGAACACCGAUGGCGAAGGCAGAUCUCUGGGCCGUAACUGACGCUGAGGAGCGAAAGGGUGGGGAGCAAACAGG
rnacentral:rRNA from 1 species